rnacentral:rRNA from 1 species
GCAGGGAAUUUUGUGCAAUGGGCGAAAGCCUGACACAGCGACGCCGCGUGAGGGAUGAAGGUCUUCGGAUCGUAAACCUCUUUUCUCAGGGAAGAAUAAUGACAGUACCUGGGGAAUAAGUGUCGGCUAACUACGUGCCAGCAGCAGCGGUAAUACGUAGGACACAAGCGUUAUCCGGAUUUACUGGGCGUAAAGAGAGCGUAGGCGGUUCUUCAAGUCGAGCGUGAAAUCUCCCGGCUUAACCGGGAGGGAUCGUUCGAUACUGUUGGACUUGAGGGCAGCAAAGGGAGAUGGAAUUCCCGGUGUAGUGGUGAAAUGCGUAGAUAUCGGGAGGAACACCAGUGGCGAAAGCGGUCUCCUGGGCUGUACCUGACGCUGAGGCCCGAAAGCGUGGGGAGCGAACAGGAUCAGAUACCCGUGUAGUCC